UAUCCAAGUUGGAAUCAUUCUCAUAAGUGAUUUAAAGGUCCAUAUUUUCAUGUUUGUGGGUGAAUAGUUGAGUGUUCUCCAAAAAAUGACAAAUUUCCAUUCCCUUUCUGAUUACUAACAUCAUUGACUAACAUUAUUUUGUAUUAACUCUUAUUUUAAAUGUCACUUAUCUCAUGCCCUUUAUUAUUUUUGUCAUUUACUUUAUGCUUUUU
rnacentral:lncRNA from 1 species